CACGUAGGGCGCGAGCGUUGUCCGGAAUUAUUGGGCGUAAAGAGCUCGUAGGCGGCCUGUUGCGUCCGCUGUGAAAGCCCGGGGCUUAACCCCGGGUCUGCAGUGGAUACGGGCAGGCUAGAGGUAGGUAGGGGAGAAUGGAAUUCCCGGUGUAGCGGUGAAAUGCGCAGAUAGUCGGAGGAACACCGGUGGCGAAGGCGGUUCUCUGGGCCUUACCUGACGCUGAGGAGCGAAAGCGUGGGGAGCGAACAGG
rnacentral:rRNA from 1 species